rnacentral:rRNA from 1 species
UACGGGGGGGGUAAGCGUUGUUCGGAAUUACUGGGUGUAAAGGGCUCGUAGGCGGCCAACUAAGUCAGACGUGAAAUCCCUCAGCUUAACUGGGGAACUGCGUCUGAUACUGGAUGGCUUGGAUUCGGGAGAGGAAUGCGGAAUUCCAGGUGUAGCGGUGAAAUGCGUAGAUAUCUGGAGGAACACCGAUGGCGAAGGCAGCCUCCUGGGCCAGCACUGACGCUCAUGCACGAAAGCGUGGGGAGCAAACAGG